rnacentral:rRNA from 1 species
CUCAGAGUGAACGCUGGCGGCGUGCUUAACACAUGCAAGUCGAACGAGAACGGGUUAUAGCUUGCUAUAAUUGUCAGCUAAGUGGCGCACGGGUGAGUAAUGUAUAGGUAAUAUGCCUCUUACUAAGGGAUAACAAAUGGAAACGUUUGCUAAUACCUUAUACUCCUUAUUAACAGAAGUUAAUAAGGGAAAGAUUUAUUGGUAAGAGAUUAGCCUGUAUUGUAUCAGUUAGUUGGUGGGGUAAUGGCUUACCAAGACUAUGACACAUAACUGGUUUGAGAGGAUGAUCAGUCACACUGGAACUGAGACACGGUCCAGACUCCUACGGGAGGCAGCAGUGGGGAAUAUUGCACAAUGGACGAAAGUCUGAUGCAGCAACGCCGCGUGGAGGAUGACACAUUUCGGUGCGUAAAACUCCUUUUAUAUGAGAAGAUAAUGACGGUAUUAUAUGAAUAAGCACCGGCUAACUCCGUGCCAGCAGCCGCGGUAAUACGGGGUUGAGACUGACC